GUUACCAAAAAAGAAUCUAUUUUAUUAGCUGUUUGUCUUGCAAAGUGAAAUGGAUUUUUAAAACCGUAUCAAAAUGUCAUUGUCUUGGGGUUUAGAACAUGUCCUCCAGCUCUCGGGGAACAUCUCAGUCCCACAGGUGAAGAGCUGUCAUGCACGGUCCAGCCCAAGCCCUUUCCUGAUGAGCCGGGUCAGGGCAGGUGACUCAGGUGAGCUCUCAGGACCCCCUGCUCCAGCCAGGGCUCUCUCAGCUGGAAAAGGAGGGCCCUGUGUGGCAGUUCCUGGGCUGAGAAAACCAUGUGUCAAAGUUGUGGCUCAAUCCUUCACUCUAUUUUUACCCUCCUGACACUACCUCUUUGAGUCCUGAGGAGGGGCCCUGGCCUGAGGCGGCCUGAGCCGGCGUCUCUGAGGCACAUGUGGCCAGCCUUGGCCUCCUCCAGAAACCACCCCAAAGCUGCCUUUGUACUUGUCUUGACCAGAAAUAAAUGCAUCACAUAAAUGUUCUCAGGCAAUCUUGAGGGAUGUGAACAUAAACUUAUCCCACAAAAUGCUUUUGUUUCCUUUCCUCAGUUCAAAGUCAUGU
ensembl:lncRNA